CUUUCCCUACGGGAGGCAGCAGUGAGGAAUAUUGGUCAAUGGGCGGGAGCCUGAACCAGCCAAGUCGCGUGAGGGAAGACGGUCCUACGGAUUGUAAACCUCUUUUGCCGGGGAGCAACAGGGUCCUUGCGAGGGCCCGAUGAGAGUACCCGGAGAAAAAGCAUCGGCUAACUCCGUGCCAGCAGCCGCGGUAAUACGUAGGUGGCAAGCGUUGUCCGGAUUUAUUGGUCGUAAAGCGAGUGCAGGCGGGUC
rnacentral:rRNA from 1 species